AACAUGCUUCCUUAGAUCCACCUUUGUGGAUGAGUCUUGGGCUGAGUUCUACUUGUAAACUUUCUUGUUCCUGUAGUUUCCAGUCAAAGAACAUCCGGCAACUUUUUUGGUUGUAUAGUCAAAGGUGCUGAGUCAUGGCAUGUGAGAUCAUAUACCUGCAUGCUAGUCUCAGGUUCUGAUGGGAAUUGGCAUGC
rnacentral:snoRNA from 17 species